GAGCAUAUAGCUCAGUGGUCGAGUGCAUGCUUGGCAUGUACAAGGUCCUGGGUUCAAUUCUCAGUAGCUCU
rnacentral:tRNA from 1 species